UGGGGAAUAUUGCACAAUGGGCGCAAGCCUGAUGCAGCAACGCCGCGUGAGGGACGACGGCCUUCGGGUUGUAAACCUCUUUUAGUAGGGAAGAAGCGAAAGUGACGGUACCUGCAGAAAAAGCACCGGCUAACUACGUGCCAGCAGCCGCGGUAAUACGUAGGGUGCGAGCGUUGUCCGGAAUUAUUGGGCGUAAAGAGCUCGUAGGCGGUCUGUCGCGUCUGCUGUGAAAACCCGAGGCUCAACCUCGGGCCUGCAGUGGGUACGGGCAGACUAGAGUGCGGUAGGGGAGAAUGGAAUUCCUGGUGUAGCGGUGGAAUGCGCAGAUAUCAGGAGGAACACCGAUGGCGAAGGCAGUUCUCUGGGCCGUAACUGACGCUGAGGAGCGAAAGCGUGGGGAGCGAACAGGAUUAGAUACCCUGGUAGUCCACGCCGUAAACGUUGGGCGCUAGAUGUGGGGACCAUUCCACGGUUUCCGUGUCGCAGCUAACGCAUUAAGCGCCCCGCCUGGGGGAGUACGGCCGCAAGGCUAAAACUU
rnacentral:rRNA from 1 species